rnacentral:rRNA from 1 species
CACCGCGGUUAUACGAGAGACCCGAGUUGUUAGACACCGGCGUAAAGAGUGGUUAAGAUAAAUUAAACACUAAAGUCGAAUACCUUCAGAGCUGUUAUACGCACCCGAAGGCAAGAAGUUCAAUCACGAAAGUGACUUUACACCAUCUGAAUCCACGAAAGCUAUGACA